rnacentral:rRNA from 1 species
UGGACAUGGGGGGAACCCUGAUCCAGCCAUGCCGCGUGUGUGAAGAAGGCCUUUUGGUUGUAAAGCACUUUAAGCGAGGAGGAGGAGCUCUUGGUUAAUACCCAAGAUGCUUGGACGUUACUCGCAGAAUAAGCACCGGCUAACUCUGUGCCAGCAGCCGCGGUAAUACAGAGGGUGCAAGCGUUAAUCGGAUUUACUGGGCGUAAAGCGCGCGUAGGUGGCCAAUUAAGUCAAAUGUGAAAUCCCCGAGCUUAACUUGGGAAUUGCAUUCGAUACUGGUUGGCUAGAGUAUGGGAGAGGAUGGUAGAAUUCCAGGUGUAGCGGUGAAAUGCGUAGAGAUCUGGAGGAAUACCGAUGGCGAAGGCAGCCAUCUGGCCUAAUACUGACACUGAGGUGCGAAAGCAUGGGGAGCAAACAGGAUUAGAUACCCUGGUAGUCCAUGCCGUAAACGAUGUCUACUAGCCGUUGGGGCCUUUGAGGCUUUAGUGGCGCAGCUAACGCGAUA